rnacentral:rRNA from 1 species
UGGGGCCUGCUGUCUGGCAGCCCUUAAAAUCAGUAGCGGUGCCCUCUGGCUCUAAGCGUAGUAACUCUUCUUGCUAUAGAGUUCUGGUGGAAGCUUGCUAUCAACCCCUAAAUUUCUAUAGUUGACCUCGGAUCAGGUAGGGAUACCCGCUGAACUUAAGCAUAUCAAUAAGCGGAGGAAAAGAAACCAACAGGGAUUGCCUCAGUAACGGCGAGUGAAGCGGCAACAGCUCAAAUUUGAAAUCUGGCUCUUCUAGGGUCCGAGUUGUAAUUUGUAGAAGAUGCUUCGAGUGUGGUCCCAGUCUAAGUUCCUUGGAACAGGACGUCAUAGAGGGUGAGAAUCCCGUAUGUGAUUGGGGUGCCUUCGCUUAUGUGAAGCUCUUUCGACGAGUCGAGUUGUUUGGGAAUGCAGCUCAAAAUGGGUGGUAAAUUUCAUCUAAAGCUAAAUAUUGGCCAGAGACCGAUAGCGCACAAGUAGAGUGUUCGAAAGAUGAAAAGCACUUUGGAAAGAGAGUUAAACAGUACGUGAAAUUGUUGAAAGGGAAGCGCUUGCAACCAGACCUGCACGCGGUUGAUCAUCCGGUGUUCUCACCGGUGCACUCGGCCGCGUUCAGGCCAGCAUCGGUUUCGGUGGUUGGAUAAAGGCCCUGGGAAUGUAGCUUCUUUCGGGGAGUGUUAUAGCCCUCGGUGCAAUGCAGCCUACCGGGACCGAGGACCGCGCUUCGGCUAGGAUGCUGGCGUAAUGGUUGUAAGCGACC